ACUAUUUUGGCAGAGUUGAAGUGUAAUAGAUUUAGAAUCUAUAUAUAUGAUAUUGUAUAUCAUAAGUAGUA
rnacentral:tRNA from 1 species